CCUCCUGUACACCCACAUAGAAUACUGCAGGCCAACAUGUGGCCCAGGCAGGAGGGAAUUCGUUCCUACAGUAAUGAAAUAAAUAUGGUC
rnacentral:lncRNA from 1 species